GACGAACGCUGGCGGCGUGCUUAACACAUGCAAGUCGAACGGUGAACGAGGGAGCUUGCUCCCUCCGGAUCAGUGGCGAACGGGUGAGUAACACGUGAGCAAUCUGCCCCGAACUCUGGGAUAAGCGUUGGAAACGACGUCUAAUACCGGAUACGACGCGGGAGGGCAUCCUCUCCGCGUGGAAAGAACUUCGGUUCGGGAUGAGCUCGCGGCCUAUCAGCUUGUUGGUGAGGUAACGGCUCACCAAGGCGACGACGGGUAGCCGGCCUGAGAGGGUGACCGGCCACACUGGGACUGAGACACGGCCCAGACUCCUACGGGAGGCAGCAGUGGGGAAUAUUGCACAAUGGGCUCAAGCCUGAUGCAGCAACGCCGCGUGAGGGACGACGGCCUUCGGGUUGUAAACCUCUUUUAGCAGGGAAGAGGCGAAAGUGACGGUACCUGCAGAAAAAGCACCGGCUAACUACGUG
rnacentral:rRNA from 1 species